AUUUGCAUGAGAGUAAAUCAGACAUUUGCUUAAAGUAAAAAACUGCUACGUGUGACUGCAAUUGCGAGUGCUCUCAGAAAUCAUUCGCUCGCACGAGUGAUUUGCUUGCAACGUCUGACGGAGCCUAUAAUCUCGUUUCGAAGUGUACACGGUAAUAUUGGAAUACUCAUUUUAGGAGUACUUUUUAAUCACUCAUGAGAAUAUUGCCUAUACGUCACAUUAUGCGUAAUUUUUGGGAGUACUUUUUACACUUUUUCUAGUAUGUGGAUGAAUGGGAAAAUGCGUAAAAAGUAGCUUAUUGCGAGAAAAGAAAAUCUUCUGACAUUGUUAAAGUUAGCGAGUACGGAAAUUGUUCGAGAUUAAAUUUAAAAUUGAAUUUUUAAGGGAAUGUUAUUUAAUCUGAAGUUAAUGAAGUUCGGGUGAGGACAUUUAGCUAAACUGGUAUUUGAUUGUUAUGAACGGCAAUUUCAGCCUGCAGACCCCCUUGUCGCCGUACCCUAUUCAUGGCAUCAGCGACAGCGAGCUGAUGUCGAUAUCAGUUAGAGACUUCCUCGGGAGGAGAUUAUCCGGAAGAUGAAACGGAGUUGAACGUUAAAGAACCAUGAGUACGGAUCAACUUGUCGGAUCAAUCAGAUCGAAAACAAGAGCACUGGAGAUAGAAAAGACUGCAGAAGAUCGUAAAAUAAUGAUCGUCAAAGCGUAGGAUGAUUUCGGAUAACAGCAUGGAUUCUACCUCGGAUUCCACUUAAUGAUAAUUUAUUUUUAAUGUAAACUAUUAUUGAAUUAUCCAAUUUUGUAAGUGUACUAUUUUAGUUUCAAAUUGAUAGGAUAAAAACAAUCUUUGCGAUGUAAUUAUUUAAAAUUGGCAAAAAUAAAAAAAAAUACAUCGAAAUCGUUUACUUCUUCAGUGAGUAAAAUUCAUACACUUAACUAAUAUUAAGUUAGGGGUAAAAAGUAUACA